rnacentral:rRNA from 1 species
AUUGAACGCUGGCGGCAUGCUUUACACAUGCAAGUCGAACGGUAACAGGCCUUCGGGUGCUGACGAGUGGCGAACGGGUGAGUAAUGCAUCGGAACGUGCCCAAUCGUGGGGGAUAACGUAGCGAAAGUUACGCUAAUACCGCAUAAGCCCUGAGGGGGAAAGUGGGGGACCGCAAGGCCUCACGCGAAUGGAGCGGCCGAUGUCAGAUUAGCUAGUUGGUGGGGUAAAGGCCUACCAAGGCCACGAUCGGUAGCUGGUCUGAGAGGAUGAUCAGCCACACUGGGACUGAGACACGGCCCAGACUCCUACGGGAGGCAGCAGUGGGGAAUAUUGGACAAUGGGCGCAAGCCUGAUCCAGCAAUGCCGCGUGUGUGAAGAAGGCCUCGG